rnacentral:rRNA from 1 species
GUGGGGAAUAUUGGACAAUGGGCGAAAGCCUGAUCCAGCCAUGCCGCGUGUGUGAAGAAGGUCUUCGGAUUGUAAAGCACUUUAAGUUGGGAGGAAGGGCAGUAAGUUAAUACCUUGCUGUUUUGACGUUACCGACAGAAUAAGCACCGGCUAACUUCGUGCCAGCAGCCGCGGUAAUACGAAGGGUGCAAGCGUUAAUCGGAAUUACUGGGCGUAAAGCGCGCGCAGGUGGUUUUGUAAGUUGUAGGUGAAAUCCCCGGGCUCAACCUGGGAACUGCCUCCAAAACUGCAUGGCUAGAGUACGGUGGAGGGUAGUGGAAUUUCCUGUGUAGCGGUGAGAUGCGUAGAUAUAGGAAGGAACACCAGUGGCGAAGGCGACUACCUGGACUGAUACUGACACUGAGGUGCGAAAGCGUGGGGAGCAAACAGGAUUAGAUACCCGUGUAGUCC